rnacentral:misc_RNA from 1 species
GCCCCAGGAAGUGGUGCCCGUUGCUGCAGCUGCACCCGGCCGCUCCCUUCUGUCCGCCCAGGCCGCAGCCGAGGCAGAGGCCGUGGCCGUGGCCGUGGCCGGCCUGCAGCGCCUCCCGCUUGACGACGGCGGGCUUGAUGAGGUCCAGCUCCUCCUCCUCCUCCUCGCCGUCGUCCUCAUGCUGGCACGGCGGGCUGAUGCAGAGGUCCAGGUUGAGGUCGGGGCACCUGGGCGCCUUGACGGCCGCCGUCUCCUCGGCCUUGAUCGGCGCCUGCGCUGCUGUUUCUGCGGCGGCGGCGACGGCGGUGUUG